rnacentral:lncRNA from 1 species
AUCCCCGUCGCCGGCGCUUUCCCGGUUAUGCUUCCCCACGCACGCCGGUGUUGUGCCCCUAGCCAAGCCUAAGUGUGCUGUCGACGCGCUCUUCUCCUGGCGUUGCGUCCUUCCACCACUGGUGCUGCCUUUCACUGAUGUUGUCUCUCACCGGUGCUGCAUCCCACCCGCACCUAGGAUACUCUUUUUUUUUUCAACCUGGUGGAAUGACAACAUCUAUAUAUUUUUUUAAAAAAAUAUUCAACUUGGUGGAAUGAAAACUAACUGGUAUCACUCGGAAUCUAAUGGUUUAAUGUGCUAUUGUGUGAAAUCUAAUGGUUUC